rnacentral:misc_RNA from 1 species
UCGUACAACCGAGGCGCGAGGGCUGUCGCUGACCUUCAAAGGUCGUGCACGCUCGAGCGCUCUCGCACAAUCCAUCUCACCCCUUUGUGCAUCACCGCGUGGGUCUCCCCCUUUGCGGGGGGAGGUUCGCGUUUUAACACAAAACUUGAUACGGUCUAGAAUGUUCAUUUUUGCGGUCACACGCAAUCAAUA